UUUGCAUAUUCUGCGUAUGCUCCGGGAUGAUAUGCUCCCAUUACAUGAAGGUUUUCACAGCGUGCCAGUUCUCCUUUUUUACAACUCUCACACUUCCCACAAUAAAAGGCAGGGCA
rnacentral:antisense_RNA from 1 species